UCCGGAGGGGGCAGUCGUUAUUCGGAAUUAUUGGGCGUAAAGGGCGCGUAGGCGGCUUGACAAGUCAGGGGUGAAAUCCCUCGGCUCAACCGGGGAACUGCCUCUGAAACUGUCAAGCUUGAGUCCGGGAGAGGGUAGUGGAAUUCCCAGUGUAGCGGUGAUAUGCGUAGAUAUUGGGAGGAACACCAGUGGCGAAAGCGGCUACCUGGACCGGUACUGACGCUGAGGCGCGAAAGCGUGGGGAGAAAACAGG
rnacentral:rRNA from 1 species